UACGUAGGGCGCAAGCGUUAUCCGGAAUUAUUGGGCGUAAAGAGCUCGUAGGCGGUUUGUCGCGUCUGCCGUGAAAGUCCGGGGCUCAACUCCGGAUCUGCGGUGGGUACGGGCAGACUAGAGUGAUGUAGGGGAGACUGGAAUUCCUGGUGUAGCGGUGGAAUGCGCAGAUAUCAGGAGGAACACCGGUGGCGAAGGCGGCAUUCUGGACCGAAACUGACGCUGAGGCGACGAAAGCCAGGGGAGCAAACGGG
rnacentral:rRNA from 1 species